UCAAGUUUUACAAAACCUUUAUUUAGUUUUGGAUAACCCAUGGAUAUCCUUACUUAGCCGUCGUGCUAAUUGCACUUCAAUGUGUUUCUGUUAACAGAUGUUAUCUAGUGUGAUGAGGAUUACACGGGGUUCUUGAUAGGCGAAGACCCCUACGUUCCUGGCUACUCUCCUGAUCCUCCGGCUCAUCCCUCUCCGAGAGAUAUCAGGGAAAUCAUGAAGACAAGGAGGAUCAUGAAGGGACAAGAACAAAAAUGAGAAGAUGGAUGAUGAUGAAUUAAAGUGAAGGACAAAAGCAAAGAAGAUUUGGUCCAUUUUCAUCAUUAAAGAUCAGGCAAUAAUGGAAUCAAAGAGUGAUAUUUUGAAUGGUGAUUGAUCAUAUGGAUAAACCAAAGCAAAAGUGGAACAAGUGUCUAAAAUCUGAAAUUUCCGCACAAGUUGUCCACUGUUCGGUAUUUUUACCAUAUCUCAGCAUAGGAAUAUCCAAAUUGAGUGAUCUUUGCACCGUUGGAAAGAAGACUUCAAGGGCUACAACUUUACCAGAAAUACAAAAUUCAUAAUUCUGAACGGAGAAUGGAGAAAAACAGCCCGGAAGAUGAAGCUGCGUGCAGUGAUGUCAUUGCUUGCGAAAUUUUCCAUCUUCUUUCUCAUUAUGAUAUGUGAGGUCAUGGCAUAUGUAAUUCCCCAUUUCCAAAUUCAGAUGGAAUGUGAGGUCAUUGCAUAUGUAAUUGUCCAUCUUUGCUCCCUUUUGAUGCCUAUAUAAAGCCUUGUAACUCUCAAACUUCAACACACCAUUCCUCACCAAUUCCUUCUAUCUCCUCUCAUUCUAGCUUUCAUAUCUUAGUUUUAGUGUUGUGUUUUUCUUCAAGCAAGAGUGUAGGAGGAAACUCCAAGAGUUUGGUCUUCAAUCCAUAAGUUUUCUUGUUCCCUUUA